rnacentral:snoRNA from 8 species
AAGACUAUACUUGCAGGGAUCAUUUCUAUAGUUCGUUACUUGAAAAAUGUGUGUC